GCUCACCCAAAGCCAAACCUUUGAUGCUGGAAAGUUACGAAAGGCUGCAGAACAGACAAAGGAUGAGUCUAUCCUGUUACACAUUCGAGACAAAGAUUGUGUUGCAGUUGAAGCAUGCUACCAUAAAAAAUGUUAUGCAAGCUACACAAAUUUCCUGCACUAUGAACCAGUAGAGGAUAAAGAAGAAAGACUUUACAAGGAGUCAUACCAGCACUUCUGUAAACAAGUUUUAGAGAAAAGGAUCAUUGUAAAUAAAGAAGUAAUGCUCAUGAGAAAACUGUUUGACUAUUUUGUUAAAGCUGUUAAAGAUACGGAAGGAUUAGAUGCUUCAAAUUAUCGAGCAUUUCGUUUGAAAAAUAGAUUGAAGCUUACAUACCCGCAGUUAGUUUUCCAUAAACCUAG